rnacentral:rRNA from 1 species
GACGAACGCUGGCGGCGUGCCUAAUACAUGCAAGUAGGACGCAGUUGCGAACGGGGGAGUAACGCGUAGGUAACUACCUAUUAGAGGGGGAUAACUAUUGGAAACGAUAGCUAAUACCGCAUACUAGUAGAUGGACCUGCGUUGUAUUAGCUAGUAGGUAGGGUAAUGGCCUACCUAGGCAACGAUACAUAGCCGACCUGGGGGGGGGGUCGGCCAAACUGGGACUGGGACACGGGCCAGACUCCUACGGGAGGCAGCAGUAGGGAAUUUUCGGCAAUGGGGGGAAACCUGACCGGGCAACGGCGCGGUAGUGAAGAAGGUUUUCGGGUCGUAAAGCUCUGUUUGUAAGGAAGCGGUACUUAACCAGAAAGGGACGGCUAACUACGUGCCAGCAGCCGCGGUAAUUC